UACAUUUUAGUAUAUAUGUAUGAAAGGUUUUGAUCCUUUAGGUAAUAAUUUAAUUUGUUAAGUGUAA
rnacentral:tRNA from 1 species